UUCCGGUUGAUCCCGCCGGACCUGACUGCUAUCGGAUUGAUACUAAGCCAUGCGAGUCUUUGUAGUAAUACAAGGCAGACGGCUCAGUAACACGUAGUCAACCUACCCUAUGGACAAGAAUAAUCUCGGGAAACUGGGCAUAAUUCUUGAUAGAUCAUAAUGCCUGGAAUGGUUUAUGGUUAAAAUGAUUCGUCGCCAUAGGAUGGGACUGCGGCCUAUCAGCUUGUUGGUGAGGUAAUGGCCCACCAAGGCGAUUACAGGUACGGGCUCUGAGAGGAGAAGCCCGGAGAUGGGUACUGAGACACGGACCCAGGCCCUAUGGGGCGCAGCAGGCGAGAAAACUUUGCAAUGUGCGAAAGCACGACAAGGUUAAUCCGAGUGAUUUCUGCUAAAGAAAUCUUUUGCCAGUCAUAAAACCACUGGCGAAUAAGGGGUGGGCAAGUUCUGGUGUCAGCCGCCGCGGUAAAACCAGCACCUCAAGUGGUCAGGAUGAUUAUUGGGCCUAAAGCAUCCGUAGCCGGCUUUGUAAGUUUUCGGUUAAAUCCAUGUGCUCAACGCAUGGGCUGCCGAAAAUACUGCAUGGCUAGGGAGUGGGAGAGGUAGACGGUACUCAGUAGGAAGGGGUAAAAUCCUUUGAUCUAUUGAUGACCACCUGUGGCGAAGGCGGUCUACCAGAACACGUUCGACGGUGAGGGAUGAAAGCUGGGGGAGCAAACCGGAUUAGAUACCCGGGUAGUCCCAGCUGUAAACGAUGCAGACUCGAUGAUGCAUUGGCAUAAUAGCCAGUGCAGUGUCGCAGGGAAGCCGUUAAGUCUGCCGCCUGGGAAGUACGUACGCAAGUAUGAAACUUAAAGGAAUUGGCGGGGGAGCACCACAAGGGGUGAAGCCUGCGGUUCAAUUGGAUUCAACGCCGG
rnacentral:rRNA from 1 species